rnacentral:rRNA from 1 species
UACGUAGGGUGCGAGCGUUAAUCGGAAUUACUGGGCGUAAAGCGUGCGCAGGCGGUUUUGUAAGCCAGAUGUGAAAGCCCCGGGCUUAACCUGGGAAUGGCAUUUGGGACUGCAAGGCUGGAGUGUGGCAGAGGAGACUGGAAUUCCUGGUGUAGCAGUGAAAUGCGUAGAUAUCAGGAGGAAUACCGAUGGCGAAGGCAGGUCUCUGGGCUGACACUGACGCUGAGUGCGCGAAAGCCAGGGGAGCAAACGGG